UGGUGGAGUGAUUUGUCUGGUUAAUUCCGUUAACGAACGAGACCUCGACCUGCUAAAUAGUUCGGCGAAUUCUUCGGGAUUCGUACGUGACUUCUUAGAGGGACUAUCGGUGGUUAGCCGAUGGAAGUUCGUGGCAAUAACA
rnacentral:rRNA from 1 species